rnacentral:rRNA from 1 species
UACGGGAGGCAGCAGUGAGGAAUAUUGGUCAAUGGGCGAGAGCCUGAACCAGCCAAGUAGCGUGCAGGAUGACGGCCCUAUGGGUUGUAAACUGCUUUUGUCGGGGAAUAAAGUGGCGUACGUGUACGUUUUUGUAUGUACCCGAAGAAUAAGGACCGGCUAAUUCCGUGCCAGCAGCCGCGGUAAU